UCCUAAUGUUGCCUCUAAAUCGCAAUGGG
rnacentral:sRNA from 1 species